GGGAAAAAGAUAAAAUCAUUCCUUCGCGCGAAAGAUACAACCCAAACCCUGAGCUGUCAUCCAAACCCGCGUUCGCCAGGGCCGUUAUUGGUUCGCCGCGUCAAUACUCUAGAACCCUGAGCAAUCCUAUUCCCAUUACCAGUGGAACUUUCCGAUGACGAUCCCUAUAAAAUGGGUACCGCCCUGCCGGGAGCCAAAGGUUUUCCCCACUCCACCGUUUCUUGAAAUCAUCAUCCCUCGCUCCCGUUCAAUUAUCGACCGGAUCAAGAACCGUCGAAGGCCUUGGAGCUUCGCCGGAGAUCGGCGUCCUCCUUCGCCCUCGUGCCGAAGGAGCUCUUCCAUCAUCGGGAACUCGAGCACGGCGUCCGAGGGCGGUUCUGUAGCAGGAGCGGUCUAGCCAAAACAUCGGAUCGGCGAGGGGAACGAUCUUGAUGAGGAGAAGAAGGCGAUUUCAACCAGACUAGUCUUCAAGAACAAGUUCUUCCGUCACCAAGAACUCGAGCGCGAUGUCUGAGGGCGAUUCUAAGGCAGGAGCGGUUGGCAAUGGCGAUCUAAAGGAUUGGAUCAGUUAGGGAACGAUCUUGGUGAGGAGAAGAAGGCGAGUUCGGGCCAGACUCGUUUUCAAGAACGAUCUUUUCCAUCACCGAAAUUCGAACAUGAUGGGCGAGGGCGAUUUUAAAGCAGCAGCAGUCGGCAAUGGCGAUAUAAAGAAUCGGAUCGGCGAGGGAAACGGUGUUGAUGAGGAGAAGUUGGGUUCGGGCCAGACUUGUCUUCAAGAACGAGGUAUUCCAUCACUGAGAACUUGAGGGCGGUGUCCGAGGGCGGUUCUAUACUAGGAGCUGUCGGCAAUGGCGAUAGAAAGAAUCGGAUCGCGAGGGGGACGAUCUUGAUGAGGAGAAGAAGGGGAGUUCGGCCAGACUCAUCUUCAAGAACGAGUUCUUCCAUCACCAAGAACUCGAGCGCGAUGUCCGAGGGUGAAGAGAUAGGAUUGGGAGCGGUGAAGAGACUGCUGAGUUCGGUGCUAGCUUCAAAUAUUUGGCAUAAUCUAUGGUGGUUCCCACACUAUGUUACCAGGUGUUAUCAAGUCUGACUUCCAAUAAAUUGAUGGAGGCUAUUGAUCUGUUGUAAGUUUGGAAAAAAAAUUCUGACAACUCAUCGGUAUUCAUAGCUGACCUACAUUUAGACCUCAUGCAUCAAAAGGGUUGGGUGAUUUGUCAGCUUGUUAGGUCGGUGAUUUUAUUGAGAUGAUGGACCUCAUCAGUGAACAGGAACUUUGCAGUACAUUAACACAAUUGUCAAGAAUUCUCAACAUUCUAUAAAAGGGAAUUUCAUAAAGGCCAUAGGGUUUGAAGCUAGCAAUACCGACUUUGUAUUUUUUAUUGCAUUUUCUAUUUGUGGUAUGUUAAUAAAUUUGAUUUGCUUAAAUCUUUCUCAUGAGGUAGCGAAUUGUUUUUGUUAGUGCUUCAUUUAUUCCCUUCAUCUUAAGUUUUUCCCAAACAAGUCUCAUAGAAGUUGGAUUGUUCUAGAGCAGCUCACAUGGAAGUUUAACUUUUGUAACUGUACCUUCACUUUGGGUUGCACUGCACCGUUCACUCCUGUAUGAAUGAGCACAUGUGCAUACAUAUGUUAAUAUAAAUAACUGCUGUCUUUUAGCAUGUUGUUUAUAUAUUAGAGUUGUUUUAACUUCAAAAGUAUCAUAAUGAACACUUUUAGUUAGAAUUAUUUAAAGUUGAAAUUCCAAAAAUUGAAGAGAGAUCAUGGUUACUACUUCACAUUUUUGGUUUCACCUAUGAUUUCAAUCUGAAAUUCUUAAUCUACAAAUUUCUUAGGUUACAAAAUUUUAUUGAUUAGAUCAGUAACUUAACUGAUACUUGUUUUGUCAUUCAAUAUUCCAUGGCCCUAACCUAUAGUACCAUUGCUGGAAAUCUAUUAUCACCUCAAUUGGUUAGGUUGACUGAAAUACAAAAGUGGGUGAUAAAUUGGGUGUCUAGAAAUUAAAAGUCACUAAACAAUUCUUGUUUGAUGUAUUUAAAUGACAUUUAUUGUUACAUCUCUUAUUUUCAUACUCCACAUUAGGAUCAGUACCGUCACUUUAACUUUUUUCCUUCAUCUUGCUUUGAUAGGUGAAAUCUUGUCCAAUGUUACCAACAGCUCUGAGUAUUGAAUGAUGUAUCUAGCUGUUCAUUUGAAAUGUUCUGGAUGUUGUUCGGAUUUUGUUAUCAAAUCCAAGGUUUCAGAUUUCCCACUGAAUCUCAAAUGGAGGUGCAUAUGUAUCCACUUGCAUCUAACCAAUGAACGUGAAUUUGAAACAAAGUGCAUUCCAUUCCUGUACAUCUAAUCAAUAAUUUUGCUUGUUAUUUUAAUGGGAGUUCAUAUUCUAUAUUGCAAAUGAGUUUUGGACCGUAUACUAUUUGACACUUGAACUACUACUUGAAGCUUACUUAUUUUAACAAUAUAAUAUCAAUGCAUCUUUUAUAUAAAUAGUAAAAACAAGGUAGAAGUUCUUGUUGAGCUCCUUAUGAGUUUCACAUUGAUUGGUGGAAUGCAAGAAUAGUUGAAGUGGCAGUGUAACAACUCAGGACCUCACCCAAAUGACUAAUCGGAAAGUAUUAUUUGGGUUUAUUGAUUCUAUAUAAGUACCCAAAGUCUACCCAACGAAUAACCGAUGUAAGACUAAACACAUGCCCAUGUGGGUUCUCAUAUACUCCCCCUUUUAAGCCCUGACGUCCUCGUUAGACUAAGGGUUCAAAUCCAUUCAAAUCUAAUCACAAGAACCACAAUCGGCCCAUGGUCAGCCCAAUAGAUCCGUGUUGUAGUGUCUCCUACUCUACAUAGGUUAUAGGCCGGGUCCGCUCUGAUACUAUUUGUUACAACCCAG